CCUACGGGCGGCAGCAGUGAGGAAUAUUGGUCAAUGGACGAGAGUCUGAACCAGCCAAGUAGCGUGAAGGAUGACUGCCCUAUGGGUUGUAAACUUCUUUUAUAUGGGAAUAAAACGUUCCACGUGUGGGAUUUUGUAUGUACCAUAUGAAUAAGGAUCGGCUAACUCCGUGCCAGCAGCCGCGGUAAUACGGAGGAUCCGAGCGUUAUCCGGAUUUAUUGGGUUUAAAGGGAGCGUAGGUGGAUUGUUAAGUCAGUUGUGAAAGUUUGCGGCUCAACCGUAAAAUUGCAGUUGAAACUGGCAGUCUUGAGUACAGUAGAGGUGGGCGGAGUUCGUGGUGUAGCGGUGAAAUGCUUAGAUAUCACGAAGAACUCCGAUUGCGAAGGCAGUUCACUGGACUGCAACUGACACUGAGGCUCGAAAGUGUGGGUAUCAAACAGGAUUAGAUACCCCAGUAGUC
rnacentral:rRNA from 1 species